rnacentral:lncRNA from 1 species
AUGACCCACACAAUGGAAAGUGGCCGGCGCUGCCCGAGCCUCGAAGCCAGAGGAAGAAAACGGCAAGACGCUGAUGGAGGGAGAGGUGGGCAGGGAGCGGGAGCGAGCCUGGCUCUGAGCUACCUGCCUUCACAUUGUGGUCAGAUCUGGGAGCCACCUUUAAAGCCAUUAGAAGCCUUUCACCAAGGCACCAAGUUUUGGAUUGUAGACACCUUACCUGUGGCGAAUAUCAUCCAUCUCUUUUGCCUGAAGAGCUGCUCUCCCGGGUUAGGGAGAAGAAAUGUCAUUGUUCCAUAAGAAAGAAUGAGCAGGAUGAUUUCAGAAAGACCUGGAGAGACUUACGUGAACUGAUGCUGAGUGACGUGAGCAGAACCAGGAGAACAUUGUACACAGCAACAGCAAGAUUAUACGAUGAUCAAUUCUGAUGGAUGCAGCUCUCUUCAACAAUGAGGUGAUUCAGCCCAAUUCCAAUGAUUUUGUGAUGAAGAGAAUCAGCUACACCCAGAGAGAAACUGUGGAAUCUGAGUGUGGAUUAUGGCAUAGUAUUUUCACCUUUUUUGUUGUUAAUUGCUUGAUUUUUGUUUUCUUUCUCAUUUUUCCCUUUUGAUCUGAUUUUUCUUGGGCAGCAUGAUGAUUGUGGAAAUAUGUAUAGAAGAAUUGCACAUGUUCGAUAUAUAUUGCAUUACUUGCUGUCUAAGGGAGGAGGCAGGAGGCAGGGAGGGAAAAAUUUGGAACACAAGGUUUUGUAAGGGUGAAUGUUGAAAACUAUGCAUAUGUUUUAAAAAUAAAAAAGCUUUUUUAAAAAAUGCAGACAUUCCCCCUUGCUGUGCCCCAAAAGAUGUAUAUGUGUUCGUAUCUCUCCAAAUCAGAUCUUAGGAUCCUCCAUAGGUCAGCUGGAGGCCAUAAAGUUCCAGGCCCCAGCAGCACCUGUAGUACGUAAGGGCCUUCCCCAAAGGUGCUCACGGGUACCACUGCACCCACUCACAUGAGCUCUGGUGAUAUCUACUGCUCAGGAAUUGCUCCAAAAGGCAAAAUGGCUGGUCAGCCCACCUGCCCAGCCCUGUCAGCGGGUCAAAUCCUUCGGGAGGAGUGUGGUUAUGUAUACCUAACAGUCAUUUCUAUGCCAGCCAGGCCCACUGGAGGAAUCUGAGCUGGCCCAAUAAGCGCCAGGCAGCGGGUCUAAUCAGAAAUUCAAUAUUCCCUACCUCUCUUCUCUGUGGAAGAUCAAGAUAUCUCCUUGGCGCAGCAGGCCCAUAAAGCUUGUAAUAUUUUAGAAGUUAUAGCCACUCACUGAGACCUUGUAAGAGGUAGCCCAGAUUUGGUUUUUAAUUUGUUGGCAUUUGUGUGUCUCUCUCCAUCAUCACACUGACCUUCCUGCCUUGCUUUUUGACUUUGUCUCCUGUGAUACUGUAGGCCUUGCAGAGAUUACUUCAGUCUGCAUUUGUUUUCCAGGCAAAUCUCCCAGCUC